AGUUAUGAAGUUAGAGAGGACUCAAAAGCGAGAGUGACAAUUACAGUUCUUUAAUAGAAUCAGAAAGUCUGACCACAGGGAUGACCAGAAGGCUGGGGAGGCAGCAGCUCUCAUAGCUCACGGAGAGACGGAUGGAACUGGAUAUGGACGGAGAGCACAGAGCUGGUAAUUAGCUGCAGUCUUUAGCAGAUGGAGGGGCUUAAAAUCCUGGACUUUUGGGGCUUCACAAGAUACCUGCACCAUCGUGGUCAAUGGGAUACACCGGCCACACCCAUCUCUCCAGACACGAUGGCCGACUCUACGCAUGUGUCUCCAGACAAG